GAUGAACGCUGGCGGCGUGCUUAACACAUGCAAGUCGAACGAAGCACUUUAACCUGAUUCUUCGGAUGAAGGUUUUUGUGACUGAGUGGCGUACGGGUGAGUAACGCGUGGGUAACCUGCCUCAUACAGGGGGAUAACAGUUAGAAAUGACUGCUAAUACCGCAUAAGACCACAGAGCCGCAUGGCUCGGUGGGAAAAACUCCGGUGGUAUUAGCUGGACCCGCGUCUGAUUAGGUAGUUGGUGGGGUAACGGCCUACCAAGCCAACGAUCAGUAGCCGAGCUGAGAGGGUGACCGGCCACAUUGGGACUGAGACACGGCCCGAACUACUACGGGAGGCAGCAGUGGGGAAUAUUGCACAAUGGGGGAAACCCUGAUGCAGCGACGACGCGUGAGCGAAGAAGUAUUUCGGUAUGUAAAGCUAGAUCAGCAGGGAAGAAAAUGACGGUACCAGACGAAGAAGCACCGGCUAAAUACGUG
rnacentral:rRNA from 1 species